AGUGAACGCUGGCGGUAGGCCUAACACAUGCAAGUCGAACGGCAGCACAGUAAGAGCUUGCUCUUACGGGUGGCGAGUGGCGUACGGGUGAGGAAUACAUCGGAAUCUACUUUUUCGGGGGGGAUAACGGAGGGAAACUUACGCUAAUACCGCAUACGACCUACGGGUGAAAGCAGGGGAUCUUCGGACCUUGCGCGAUUGAAUGAGCCGAUGUCGGAUUAGCUAGUUGGCGGGGUAAAGGCCCACCAAGGCGACGAUCCGUAGCUGGUCUGAGAGGAUGAUCAGCCACACUGGAACUGAGACACGGUCCAGACUCCUACGGGAGGCAGCAGUGGGGAAUAUUGGACAAUGGGCGCAAGCCUGAUCCAGCCAUACCGCGUGGGUGAAGAAGGCCUUCGGGUUGUAAAGCCCUUUUGUUGGGAAAGAAAAGCAGCAGGUUAAUACCCCGCUGUUCUGACGGUACCCAAAGAAUAAGCACCGGCUAACUUCGUG
rnacentral:rRNA from 1 species